rnacentral:rRNA from 1 species
AGCGGAACGUGGCGAACGGGUGAGUAAUGAAUGGACGAUCUGCCCUGAAGACCGGGAUAAUCCAUCGAAAGGUGGGGUAAUACCGGAUGGCAUGAUAUUUUUUAGGAUUUAUCAUUAAAGGUGGCUUCGGCUUCCACUUCAGGAGGAGUUCAUUUCCUAUUAGCUUGUUGGUGAGGUAACGGCUCACCAAGGCCGAGAUGGGUAGGGGGCCUUAGCGGGUUAUCCCCCACACUGGGACUGAGACACUGCCCAGGUUCCUACGGGAGGCUGCAAUCGAGAAUCCUCUGCAAUGGACGAAAGUCUGACAGGGUGACGCCGCGUGGAUGAUGAAGGCCUAUCAGGUUGUAAAAUCCUUACAGGGAGUAUGAAACAGAUUCUGUAUAAUAUGCAGAAUAAUUGACGUAAAUCCCAGAUGAAGUCACGGCUAAAUUCGUGCCAGCAGCCGCGGUAAUACGAAUGUGGCAAGCGUUGUUCGGAAUCACUGGGCAUAAAGCGCACGUAGGUGGUUUAGUAAGUUAACUUUGAAAUCCCCCGGCUCAACCGGGGAAUAGGAGUUGAUACUGCUAAACUAGAGUACAGAAGGGGAGAGUGGAAUUCUUGGUGUAGCGGUGGAAUGCGAAGAUAUCAAGGAGAAGGCCGGUGGCGAAAGCGACUCUCUGGUCUGAUACUGACUCUGAGGUGCGAAAGCGUAGGUAGCGAACGGGAUUAGAUACCCCGGUAGUCUACGCCGUAAACGAUGGGCACUAGAUGGUGGAAUCGCCGAUAGAUUUCUCCGUCGAAGCAAAUGCGUUAAGUGCCCCGCCUGGGGAGUAUGGCCGCAAGGUUAAAACUCAAAGGAAUUGACGGGGGCCCACACAAGCGGUGGAGGAUGCGGCUUAAUUCGAGGAUACGCGUAGAACCUUACCAAGGUUUGACAUGUAGGGAUUAACCAGGUGAAAGCCUGGGGAUUGCUUUACGGUGUAACCUACACAGGUGCUGCAUGGCUGUCGACAGUUCGUGUCGUGAGAUGUUAGGUUAAGUCCUGAAACGAGCGAAACCCCUGUGCUUAAUUGCCAGCGCGUCAUGGCGGGGACAUUAAGCAGACUGCCUCGGCUAACGGGGAGGAAGGUGGGGAUGACGUCAAGUCAGCAUGGCCUUUAUGCCUUGGGCUGCACGCGUCCUACAAUGGGCUGUACAAUGGGGACCAAUAUCGCGAGA